AGAGAGAGACAUGCGCGCAUAUCAAUAAGCGGAGGAAAAGAAACUAACAAGGAUUCCCUUAGUAACGGCGAGUGAAGCGGGAAGAGCUCAAAUUUGAAAUCUUCAAGGUUUUACCUUGACGAAUUGUAGUUUAAAGAAGUGUUUUCUGCUGAAGUUUUGGUAAAAGUUCUUUGGAAUAGGACAUCAUAGAGGGGUGAGAAUCCCGUAUUUGACCAUUAUUUUCAGCUUUGUGAUACACUUUCAAAGAGUCGGAUUGUUUGGGAAUGCAGUCCAAAAUGGGUGGUAAAUUUCAUCUAAAGCUAAAUAUUGGCGAGAGACCGAUAGCGAACAAGUACCGUGAGGGAAAGAUGAAAAGAACUUUGAAAAGAGAGUUAAACAGUACGUGAAAUUGUCAAAGGGAAGCGUUUGACACCAGUGUUGUUUUCUCGAAAAUCAAUUAAAAAUGGCUCGAUUUUGUAUUGUUGAGACCUUAAAAGCUCACUGUACAUUUUUCGUGUCUUUUUUAAUGCACUUUUCGUUUAACAAGUCAACAUCAGUUUCUUUUGUUGUAAGAGGGUCAUUGGAAGGUGGCUUUCUUUUCGGAGAAAGUGUUUAUAGGCCUUUGGCCUCUGCAAUCGGAGAGACUGAGGUCUGCAGCGUAGACUCUUCGGGGUUAGAUACAUUUGUGCUAAGUUAUAGCUUUUUAUAGACAACUUGUUGACUAUAAUUAGUCUUGUAGCUUACUCGCUUAUGCUAUUUUACCUACGCUUAGGAUGUUGAGUCGUAGAGCACGCAG
rnacentral:rRNA from 1 species